rnacentral:lncRNA from 1 species
UUUGAAGCACAACCAAGGAGGUAGGUUAUAAAGAAUUAGGAUCACUAGCCAUGUAGUGUAAGUCACAUUCAACAUCCCAAAUGGAUUGAAGCCAUCCGAUGCAAGUCCCACCCUAACAUUACGUGGAUCACUUGCAAAUGUAGUAUACUUGGCAUCUACAUGCCUCCAUGCCUUUGAGUUAGCUGGGUGCCGCACUUUCCCAUCUUCAACAAAUUCUUCCUUGUGCCAACGCAUAUGCGCCGAUGUGGUCUCGUUCAUAUAUAAUCUCUGAAGUCGAGGAAUAAGUAGAAAAUACCUCAGUAUCUUAUAAGGUAAGAGCUUCUUCUUUACUCCACCAGUGCUAUCACCACCACACUCUAAAUAUGUAUCAUUCCACCUACUCUCCCCACAUUUUGGACAUGCGUUCAACUUCUCGUAAUCUUCUCCACGGAAUAACACACAGUCAUUAACACAAGCAUGAAUCUUUUGGUAGUCCAAGCCAAGGUCUCAAACUACCUUUUGAACUUUGUCCAGGGUAUCUGGGACACAAUGGUCCUUGGGAAGCACAUGGCUGAAUAAUAACAGUACUUGCUCUAGAGCAUUGUUGCUAAUACCUAACAUGCACUUAAUCUGAUAUAGCCUCACAAUAAAAGAUAUUUGGGUAGCCUCCUUGCAACCUAGGUACAGUUCUUUCCUAGCUUCUUCCAUUAACUUGAAAAAUUUCCUUACUGACUCAUUUGGUUCCUCAAUAUUACCACCUCUAAUUUCACCAUGUAUGGCACCACUAAUUAGCAAUAAAAACAGUUUAGUGGAUGAGACACCAUCAUCAUGAUCACCUUCUUCACCUUCACAAAUGUCUCGAUCAUCAUCGUCCACAACAAUACGUUUAGCAAAUCUGCCAAUAUGAUGCUAUUUUUUAUAAUACGGAUCAAACCCUCUAGUAUUCAAGUGCAACUCAACAACUUCUUUAUUUUGAUAUGCC